rnacentral:rRNA from 1 species
CAGGUUUACCUGUGUGACUGCGUACCUUUUGUAUAAUGGGUCAGCGACUUAUAUUCUGUAGCAAGGUUAACCGAAUAGGGGAGCCGGAGGGAAACCGAGUCUUAAUUGGGCGUUAAGUUGCAGGGUAUAGACCCGAAACCCGGUGAUCUAGCCAUGGGCAGGUUGAAGGUUGGGUAACACUAACUGGAGGACCGAACCGACUAAUGUUGAAAAAUUAGCGGAUGACCUGUGGCUGGGGGUGAAAGGCCAAUCAAACCGGGAGAUAGCUGGUUCUCCCCGAAAGCUAUUUAGGUAGCGCCUCGUGAAUUCAUCUCCGGGGGUAGAGCACUGUUUCGGCUAGGGGGCCAUCCCGGCUUACCAACCCGAUGCAAACUGCGAAUACCGGAGAAUGUUAUCACGGGAGACACACGGCGGGUGCUAACGUCCGUCGUGAAGAGGGAAACAACCCAGACCGCCAGCUAAGGUCCCAAAGUCAUGGUUAAGUGGGAAACGAUGUGGGAAGGCCCAGACAGCCAGGAUGUUGGCUUAGAAGCAGCCAUCAUUUAAAGAAAGCGUAAUAGCUCACUGGUCGAGUCGGCCUGCGCGGAAGAUGUAACGGGGCUAAACCAUGCACCGAAGCUGCGGCAGCGACACUGUGUGUUGUUGGGUAGGGGAGCGUUCUGUAAGCCUGCGAAGGUGGCCUGUGAGGGUUGCUGGAGGUAUCAGAAGUGCGAAUGCUGACAUAAGUAACGAUAAAGCGGGUGAAAAGCCCGCUCGCCGGAAGACCAAGGGUUCCUGUCCAACGUUAAUCGGGGCAGGGUGAGUCGACCCCUAAGGCGAGGCCGAAAGGCGUAGUCGAUGGGAAACGGGUUAAUAUUCCCGUACUUGGUGUUACUGCGAAGGGGGGACGGAGAAGGCUAUGUUGGCCGGGCGACGGUUGUCCCGGUUUAAGCGUGUAGGUGUGUGUUCCAGGUAAAUCCGGUUCACUUUAACACUGAGGCGUGACGACGAGGCACUACGGUGCUGAAGCAACAAAUGCCCUGCUUCCAGGAAAAGCCUCUAAGCAUCAGGUAACAUCAAAUCGUACCCCAAACCGACACAGGUGGUCAGGUAGAGAAUACCAAGGCGCUUGAGAGAACUCGGGUGAAGGAACUAGGCAAAAUGGUGCCGUAACUUCGGGAGAAGGCACGCUGACACGUAGGUGAAGUGAUUUACUCACGGAGCUGAAGUCAGUCGAAGAUACCAGCUGGCUGCAACUGUUUAUUAAAAACACAGCACUGUGCAAACACGAAAGUGGACGUAUACGGUGUGACGCCUGCCCGGUGCCGGAAGGUUAAUUGAUGGGGUCAGCGCAAGCGAAGCUCCUGAUCGAAGCCCCGGUAAACGGCGGCCGUAACUAUAACGGUCCUAAGGUAGCGAAAUUCCUUGUCGGGUAAGUUCCGACCUGCACGAAUGGCGUAAUGAUGGCCAGGCUGUCUCCACCCGAGACUCAGUGAAAUUGAACUCGCUGUGAAGAUGCAGUGUACCCGCGGCAAGACGGAAAGACCCCGUGAACCUUUACUAUAGCUUGACACUGAACAUUGAGCCUUGAUGUGUAGGAUAGGUGGGAGGCUUUGAAGUGUGGACGCCAGUCUGCAUGGAGCCGACCUUGAAAUACCACCCUUUAAUGUUUGAUGUUCUAACGUGGACCCGUAAUCCGGGUUGCGGACAGUGUCUGGUGGGUAGUUUGACUGGGGCGGUCUCCUCCUAAAGAGUAACGGAGGAGCACGAAGGUUGGCUAAUCCUGGUCGGACAUCAGGAGGUUAGUGCAAUGGCAUAAGCCAGCUUGACUGCGAGCGUGACGGCGCGAGCAGGUGCGAAAGCAGGUCAUAGUGAUCCGGUGGUUCUGAAUGGAAGGGCCAUCGCUCAACGGAUAAAAGGUACUCCGGGGAUAACAGGCUGAUACCGCCCAAGAGUUCAUAUCGACGGCGGUGUUUGGCACCUCGAUGUCGGCUCAUCACAUCCUGGGGCUGAAGUAGGUCCCAAGGGUAUGGCUGUUCGCCAUUUAAAGUGGUACGCGAGCUGGGUUUAGAACGUCGUGAGACAGUUCGGUCCCUAUCUGCCGUGGGCGCUGGAGAACUGAGGGGGGCUGCUCCUAGUACGAGAGGACCGGAGUGGACGCAUCACUGGUGUUCGGGUUGUCAUGCCAAUGGCACUGCCCGGUAGCUAAAUGCGGAAGAGAUAAGUGCUGAAAGCAUCUAAGCACGAAACUUGCCCCGA